rnacentral:rRNA from 1 species
UACGAAGGGGGCUAGCGUUGCUCGGAAUUACUGGGCGUAAAGCGCACGUAGGCGGUUUCUUAAGUCGGGGGUGAAAUCCUGGAGCUCAACUCCAGAACUGCCUUCGAUACUGAGAGACUUGAGUCCGGGAGAGGUGAGUGGAACUGCGAGUGUAGAGGUGAAAUUCGUAGAUAUUCGGAAGAACACCAGUGGCGAAGGCGACUGACUGGACAAGUAUUGACGCUGAGGUGCGAAAGCGUGGGGAGCGAACAGG